rnacentral:tRNA from 1 species
CGGGGCGCGUAGCAUAAAGGUCAUGCAGCGGACUCCGGCCCCGCGCCCCCUCGAAAGGACGAAUGCCCGUUCGAGUCGGGCCGCCCCUG